rnacentral:rRNA from 1 species
UACGGAGGGGGCGAGCGUUAUUCGGAAUUAUUGGGCGUAACGGGCGCGUAGGCGGCUUGAUGUGUCAAAGGUGAAAUCCCUCGGCUCAACUGAGGAACUGCCUUUGAAACUGUCUGGCUUGAGGCCGGGAGAGGGUAGCGGAAUUCCCAGUGUAGCGGUGAAAUGCGUAGAUACUGGGAGGAACACCGGUGGCGAAGGCGGCUACCUGGACCGGUUCUGACGCUGAUGCGCGAAAGCGUGGGUAGCAAACAGG